GGGCCACUCAGAUAAACAUCAGGAGAACCUUUCAGCAUCCGUAGUAGGGAAGCCUCAGUUUUGGUGGCAAACAAUGCAAAUAUGGUAAGCAUACAACGAGCACUGAUAUUAUCACAGUCAAUGAAUCCAAGAGCAUAUGCAACAGGAUCCCACAUCCUCUGUAUACUUGCGCGAGUCCCUCCUUUGGAUAAGAACCAAUCUGAGAAGCUUAUCUGUUAAAAUGUCACCACAGUGAGAUAAAAAUUAUUGAGAAAAUGACAUACAUAGUGCUGCCAAAUAUUGGUAGUCAUGUACAGGGAUAACGUUCCUACCCUGUCUAAAUCCCGUAUCUCCCUCAGCGCUCCAUCAGGAUCAACCAGAGCCCGUACAACUGGACUAAGCGCGAGAGCCACGGCAUUUCUUGCCUUAUCAUAAAUCUGCAAGCAAAAAUUGAGAACACAAUGAUAUUUAAGAACUCUGCCAGCUAUUUUUAUCAAAUAUAAUUAUAUAUAAAAAAUUGGGGAAAUAUAAUUUUCCCCAAUUUUUUACAGACCUUGAAGACCAAAAAAUUUAAAAAAGCUCAAGGUAAUCAAUGUCAUAAUGAAGGUGGAAACUGAAAAUAAGGAAGCGCAAUUCUGUUGGUCUAGGAGAUUUUAGUUGUGUAUUAACUUUCAUGCCUACAAUAAUGUCUAGGCACUGGAUUGCUACCUUCAUUUCGUCUACUUUACAUGGUUCCACAAUCUGAGGGGAGUACUGCGACCUUUUCCUUCCUUUUUUUAAAGGUGGGAGAUGAGAGGUAGAUGAAGUGAGAAAGACCUAAAGCUACAACAUAAUGUAUCUUAUAGGUAGAGCUCACCAGCAACACAAGGAAAUUAUGAUAACUUCAACAGAUUCAGAAGAUUUGCCGUAUUUAUGACCAAAUCAAACAAGAAGAACCACAUCCAAGGGGGUACUCUUCAAUCUUCUUUGCCACUUUUCAGGAACUGUUAGUACUUUCAAUGCACUGUUGCAUGCCCUGCUUAAGCCUCUCUCUCUCUCUCUCUCCCCAUAAGAAGAUUCCCAAGUGAAAUGAUUUCCACAAAAUAGGACAGUUGUUUUUCCAGUUUAUUUCCAAGUCAACAGGACGAAACAAAAGGAAUAGUAACUAUAUCCAUACAAGUACUUAGUAAAAUGCCUCAGAUUCUCACCAGUAAAAAGUCUGAUGGUUGAGAUUUAGUGUAAGUCAAAAGUAUGUUGCGUAUACUUACACACUAGAUACCUCAUAGUAUAAAUCCAACAGAAAACUAGUUAUUGGACGUUAUAUGAUCAUUCCUAACGGUAAGGGACAAGUGCUUGAGUUCUGGUUCCCAGGACAUGUGAUUCACUCAUAUACUCCAGAUAUAGGAUUUCAGAAGAACGAACUGCAGGAUCCUUGUUGAAUAGAAUAGCCACUAAAUUAUUUGAUGCAGAUAUUAAGAAUCUAUGACAAUCUAAACAAGGGAGCAUUUACAAGGUCUAGUACCUUUAGCUGAUUGGUAGACAAGAAUGCAUUAAUUCCAUGUAAAGGUGCCCCAACUGGAAAGCGGAAAUCAAGUUCUGUAACCACAUGUAUACAAAUCAGAUUGUAAUCCAUUUUACUGAAUAACGAUUGUAACAUAUAAAAGUAUAUUAGAAACUAUACGCAUUAAACAUCCGGGACUAUUUUUCACACACAUCAAGCUGUUUUCUUACCACCAAUUUCACCCCCUUUGUUAACAAAUGUGUGAGUAUGAUCCUUCACGAGCAAAUUUUUAUCAGCACCUACCUGCAUUAGGAGGCAUCCCAAAGGUAAUUAGUGGCGUCCAAAACUAUAUCAUGCAUUGAACUCUUAAUUGAUAGAAAGCACUAUAAUGGGCAAUAUUUAGGUAGACUGGUAGUUUCUAUACCUGUGGAGAAGGGAAUAAAUGUAAAACGACAAAGAGCUUAUUUACAGCUUAAAGAUUUAAGAAAAAGAAAACGCCUCUAAAGUUUGAUCAUUGAGGGCUCAACUUCGACCAAUUCUAAUGUGAUAUAUUGUGGAGAUUCUGUUACUGGUUGCACAAAAGCAUAGAUAAUGCAUUACCGUCUCUAAGUAACCGGAUGGCAUUCUUCCUGCCAGGCUAGUGAGGUAUCAUGAUACAUUUCCUUCUAAAAGGACAGUUCUCCAAUAGCUUUGACCAAAUGUUUAUCUACUUUAUUCAUCUGUGAGAAGAUAAAAGAUAAUAACUUUAGAAAAGGGAUUUUAUGUCACCUUUUUCAUCAGGCGGAAAAGGUUGUUGUAGCAACCAAAGAAGACAUGCAGUCCCAUUUCAAUGUGAUUUCCUCGUUUAUCAACAAAAGAACCUACUUUACCACCAAUAAAAGAAUGUGAUUCAUAAAUAUCCACCUGCAAAGGAAAUGUACUAUGGUCAAGACAUUCUUCUGCCAUUUCAUAUUAAUAGAGAACUCAUCAUGUCAGAUUUAUGUGGUUAUUAGCUGGUAAACUAGUUUAGGGGUAUUAGAAAGUGUAUAAAUAACAAUAUUUCUGAAUCUUCAGGUAAAAUCCGAAAGUAGAUAAAGAGAUCAACUAGAAAGGGUGAAGAGGAGCAGAUACACAUGAUUCUUUUUUAUUAUAGCUUUUCUGAAUUUUGGGGGUUUUCUCCUAGGGCUGUCUUGGGAAGGAGCCAGAAUUGGAGGAGAGAGGAGGAAGCGUUCAACCAAACCUCAUGGCCUUGAUCCAAAAGCUCCACUGCAGUUGACAUGCCUGCAAGCCCAGCUCCAAUAAUAGCUACUUUUAACUUUGGUCCACGAUAAUGUUCAGGUUCUGGUGGAAAUAAGCCUUUUGGAGCUGCAAAAUGGACUAUUAAUUUAGUUCCAACAAAUUGCAAAAUAUAAUAAUUCCCUUACUAUUACUUCAUGUUUUCUUCAGUAACUAUCACAACAAUGUACUUCAUUAUUAGCUUCUGUUAGUUAUGGAGAUCAGACCUCAGAAGAAUUAAUCACACUUUCCCAGGACUCCCCUUUGAAUGGCAAUGUAAAUACUUAUAGCAUCCCAGUUUUAUACAAGUUUAUUUUGCAGUAGAUAACGGCCACACAAAAUUUUUUCAGAGGGAUAAGUUCAAGCAAUUGUCCCCUUUCAAGUCCAGUUUACUCCUCAACCAAGGACUAUUAAGCACUACCCGCAAACUUUUAAGCAGAAACAGGAAAAGAUUAUAGAAUCCACCAGCUUCACUGACAGAAGCAACAAACAAAAGUUCGAUUCUUGAAUAUAAAGACACGUAAAUUGAAAAGCAGUAACAUCCAAUCAUUUAUAACUGUCCACUCAGCAGAAAUCUCAGUGCACAUUAAACUACUGCAUUGACUACGAAAAUGUGAGUACUUCGACAAUUGGUACCUUGAAAACUAAAACCUUUUCUUUUCCCUGCUUAAUUCGCAAUCAUGACAACUUACCAUCUAGAAAAGACUAAAAUUAAUUUCAACGGAAGUCUCUUAGCUGCUAUGACAUACAGGGGAGAGAGGGUAGAAGAAUGAUAGCAAUCACUAGUUAGUCACUACAUCAUUUUGUUUUUUGGCCAAAGGAAAUCAGGAGUUUUCCUUUCUUCUCAAUCCUUCACACUAAAAUAUGCCCAAUCAACUUAAUCAAAGUUGCCUCUGGAAAACAUUAGCUUGCAGCUAUCUAUUUAACCAAUUAUCCAGCAAGACAGAUUGAAGGAUCAUUUGGGAUGCACAAUUCAGAAAAAGAACAGCAGAUAUUAAGGAAACAGAAAUCCAACAAAUUGAAUUCCCAAAAGUGCAAAAUGACUUUUACCAUUAUUCCUCAUGUCAGAGACAUUAGAGUCCAAAUCAGACCGAACAAUCGAGCUCCUACACCUCAACUGAGUAGACACCCCCAGCCGGCGACCCGAUAUUAAAACUCCCGCAGGCCCAGAGCCGGUAAGAAAAGACCUGUUAUUCCCUCCUCCACCAGUAGCUGAUGUCCCAGGAUAACAAAUAGAAGCAGAUGAACAAGCCAUGUGAACUUUCCUUCUUUAUUUCUUCGGACACACAGUUCAAUUCCCUUCAAGCUCAAAACCCACCAAAAAAAACCCAAAAUUGAGAGAAAAUUGAAGGGAUUUUAGCUCAACUAGGAAGCAAGAAAAUGAGUGGCAGUCAAGAGUAUAAGAAAGAAGGAUUAAAGGGUAUCUUGGAAAGAUGAAGGAGGGGAUGCUGAGACUGAGGAAAUUUGUCAGCACAUUAACAAAAUAGUUAAAUUCUGAGCAGGAUUUUGGACGGUUAUUGGGUCGGAAUUUUGGAUGUUAAUGGAUGGAAGUGUUCGAGUUUGGCGGAUAAUGUGACAGGAAAUGUUUUGGUAGUGGUGUUGUUGAUGGGUGGCUUGUUAUUGGCGCUUUUGCUAUGGUGUUUGCCGCCACCACCACUAGAGUUUGGUGCUUCAUCCAACUUCCAAUAAUAAGGUUGGAAAUGCGUAGAAGAAAAAAGUUCAACUUGAUACACCCACUAAUACACAGUAAUGUCACAGUUAGAUACACGAUGAAAUUAUCAAUUUUUCAUCAUAAUAAAAAUUUGUUCGUGUUUCAGAACAGGAAUCAGAGUCAUAAACCGAGCUAUGAGUAUGAUUUUAGUUAUUUUUUUGGGACCUCGUGAAGUUUCUUUUAAAUAAUACUGAUCUUCUACGAGGUUUCGAAUAUAUUAUAAAUUUUUCGAAAUUCAUAAAAUUUUGUAACAUGUCUAACUCAUAGAAAAGUGAGGCUAAAAAAUUAAUUUUAAUCAUAAAUUUUUGUAGCACGCUAGGCUAACUCGGAAGAAAAGUGAGGCUAAUAAAUUAAUGUUGCGAGUGAGAAGAGAUUUUAAUCCUAUAAAUACCCUUUUAACUUCUAGCAUCAUUAAAUACUUUACAACUCUUAUAUAUGACUUAAUUGUAGCCUACAAUUUGUAGGUUAUAGCAAUUGAUUCCAUGUAUUCAAGAUAUACACAUAUUGUCCUUUGAUGACUAAUAGUCAUACACAUCAGUUAACUUUUAUUCCAUGAAGGCUAUAAGAAAAUAAUUAUAGCCUCAGGAAUGUAAUGAUUUAGUUAUCUAUGUGGUCAUACAUUUUGUUUUCAUGAAAAGUAUGUAAUUGUCAUAAGUUAAUAUAAUAAAUUAAAAAGUACGUGUCUUUAAAAACUAUAAAAUUUCUACCUUAUUACCCGGUCCAAUUUGCUAACAUGGAUUAGUAAUGUUUUUUUUUUCUAAUUCUUAUAUUUUUAUUAAUUAUGUCCCAACAAUUAGUGCAUUAAUUGUCAAUAUGCUAGCUAUACAAGGUUGGUUGCAUUGAAAAACGAAGAAGGAAAAGGAUAAAUAUGAAACAAAGAAGAAGAAAAGAAAGAGAAAUAAAAAAAUUCAAAAUUAAAGAAAAACUUAUAAUGUACAGGGCAUAUUUGGCCGUGUAUUAGUGCAAUGGUUAGUCAUCUGGGGCAACUUUGCACACAUAUUUGUGAACAUAGUGGUGGAAAAGUUUGAUCAAUUCCUAAUCAUAGUGGGGCAAUCUACAAUUAAGCUCAAAUCUUUAGAAUUUGAGAUUGGGUAUCAGAUUUAUUUUUGCAUUAGCGAUGUUAGUAGUAGGGCCGAAUUUGCUUGACAAGGGAACUAUAUGAUACUAGGCUUGGUGCCCCGCGGGGUUCCGCGGGUGCCCAUUAUUAACUGUCUUAAGCUAAUGUAAGAUUUAUUUUAUAACAUAAAUUUAGAGUAUUUUAUAUGAUAAUGGAGUUGGAAUAGUGGAUAGAGAAGUGAUAUAUUGGAUUGAUUGAUUUAUAAAUAGAUAUAGUAAAAUUGAUAUGAUUUGUAUUGUGUUUUUUAAAAUUAAUAUGAUAAUAUUGAUUUCAAAAAAAAAUUUAAUUUUAAUUUAGUGAUAAGUAAAUAUUAUUUAAAUUAAUGGAAUAUAUAUUAAAUUUUUAAAGUUCAUAGGAUGAAAAAUUAGGUGGAGAAUUACAUUGAGAGUAUUAUAAUUUAUUGUACUUUGGGCAUAGGUAGUUUAUGUAUUUUAGGAUGAUGAUAUUUUCAUAAUUUGGAUAGCUAGGAUGAAAAAGUGUGCAUUGUUGCAAUGGAAAAGUCUAUGGAAAGGAUAUAAAAGAAUAGAAAGUUUGUUAAAAAAUAAAUGGAUAAUAGAUAUUUUUUGGCCAAAUUUGAUAUAGUUUGGGUGUUGUGUGAUGAGAUAAAUUAAUAAUUUGGAAUAAUUUGAUACUAUAUCUUGGUAAAAUAUGUGUUUAGUCAUUAAGUAGGUUUUUUUGAUAAGUAAAAAUGAUAUUGAUUUAGUUAUGAAUGAAUGUGAUUGAAAUAUAUGGAAGCUGUAUCUUUUUAAUUAAUAGAAUCUGAAUAGGUGAAGGAUAAUAUUAAUUUUGAGAGCUAAGAGAUUUUAUAUUAAUAGUUUAGUAAUAAAUGCAUAUUAUUGAAAGUAAGGCAAUGUGUAUAAAUUUUUUUUAUAAGAAAUAGAAAUGAUUGCACAUGAAAAUUAUAGAGUCUAAUUAUUGUAAUUUAUAGUAGAAUUUUUAAAUAUUUAUUGUUUGAUGUUUAUGCGACUUAUUUUAUGGUACUCAAAGUUGUAGUGAAUUUUGUAUUAAUAUAUAUAUAUAUAUAUAUAGGUAUACGAUAUAUUUUGUAAUAUGUGUGCAUAUAUAUAUAUAUAUAUAUAUAUAUAUGCGCGUGUGUGUUUAGUAUUUUAUUUAGGAGAUAUGAUGGUUUAAUUUUUUAUCGUUUAUAUUUUUUGUGGUUUUGUUUGUUUGUUAUAUUUUUAUUAUUUAUUUAUUUAUAUAUGUGUAUAUAUAUAUAUGUGUGUGUGUAUGUGCAGGUGUGUAUAUUUAAUAUUUUAUUUGAGUUUGUAUGAUUGUUUAAUAUUGUUUUAACGUGCCUAUCUUUUCUAGUUUUGUUUGUUUGUUAUAUUUGUGGUGUUCCUAUUUGUCUUGUGAUUCAUGUGUCAAUAUGAUAAUUUUUUUUUGAGUUGCAUCAUGUAUAUUUUUGCUAUAUAUAUAGGGGUGCGGUUUUUAGUAUUUGUGUAUAAAUUUCUGGUAGUUUGGUUAUCUUUGUUAUAGUUUUAGAGAAAAGUUUGUCUUUUUUAUUUUGGUUUUUAGUGGUAUAUUUUUUAAUUUUGAAAUAUUAUCGAAGUAACAUUUGUGAAAUAGAGGGAAAUUAUCCCGUAUUUUUUAAAACAAUUAGUCGUAUUAAUGCAAGCAAAUACAAAGCGGCACAAUUGAUUUAUAUUUAUUAGAUGCACACAAAAUUUAAUAUUUGCAUUAAUUUUUUUGAAAAUUAAUAAGAUUCCAAAAUCUAAAGAUAACACAAUUUCGAAGAGUCCGUUAUUUUAUUGAUAUCGAAAAUUAAUAAUGCUUGAUUGAAUAGCAUACAUGAAUAAAUAUCUAUUUAAUGAUGAAGUAAUUUAUUUAUUGAUUAAUCAAUAUCUUACUUUAAAUCAACGAAUAGCACAUGGACUUAUGCGUAAGGGAAAUUUAAAUUACAAUUAGCUGACUCGAAUAACACUCAUUAUCUGUUAAUAUGAAGUAGCAUAGCAUAACACAUAGAAUUUGUAUUGUUCUGUAUAUAUUAGAUGCACACAGAAUUUGCGUAACACAUAGAAUUUGUAUUGUUCUGUAUAUAUUAAAUGCACACAGAAUUUUUAUCGAUUCACAUAUUUUUUAGAAAAUCAAUAUCUUUGUUAAUAUAUAUAUAUAUUUUGGGGAAAGUUAAUAAAUAUAAAAGAGCAGAGGGAAUUAUAUUUUGAAGAUUGACACGUUAAUACAAAGUUAGGAAAUUGAGAUUUUUGUGAGAUUUAUAUUUUGAAAGGAAGUUAUAUGUUGAAGGAAGUUAAUAAAUGAAAUCGAUAAAUUAAUAUUUUUGUUAAUAAAGUCAGAUAACAAUUGCAGCAGUGGAAGAUGAGCAAGAAAAAAAGGACAAAAUCGAUUGCAAAAUUAAGUUAGAUAACAAUUGCGGCAGUGGAAGGUGCAGAAGAAACAAAAGGACAAAAUUGGCCACAAAAUUACAAAGAAACCAGGGCAAGGGCACAAUCGGAAGAAGGGAACAAAAGCAGAAAUGAGGAAAAGCGCACCAGGAACCAAAGCCGUUGCAUGGAGCCUGCCAAAAGACCAAAAAGGACGAAAUGAGCCGCAAAAUCACAGCGAAACCGGCACAAUCAACUGUAGAUGAAGCUUCCGCGCUUUAUGUAGUUUAGGAUUUCUAUACUUCUAAAGGAUUACGGGAGAACAGUGAUCCUGUUAAAAACUUUAGGGAGAAUUUCUAGAAUUAUCCUUUUUAGUGGGGGGGGGGGGGGAGGGUGGGUGGGGGCGCAGUUGUUCUUUCUCAGUAGAUAGUCACUUUAAUUGGCACGAGUUUGUUGAGUAGUAUAUGACACUUAAAACAAUCUUUACCUUUUGUCUUAUGUGGAACAGAAAAUUGGAUUGAUUUCUGAUAGGCUUUUUACUCAAACGUCUCUUGUCCCAUCCACUUUGUCUAGCUAAACCUUUGUUAAUUGUUUUAAACAGUCAAUCAAUGACAAUUCGUUUAGUUCAUUUUGCAGGAAAUGAUUUAGAUAAAGCGUGUGAGACCAAAUAAUUAUGCACCACUUUUCAAUAAACAAAAAACCAACGAUGUGAACCCGUUAUUCAUUUCUUUUUACCAAAUUCUCGUUUCAUUUCUAAUAACUAACCAAUAGAAACUGGAAUUAAAGUUGUACUUAAGUUUCAAAUUCUUCUUUUCUUUUUUUAAGUGUAAGGGGAAAAUCUCGAACCCGUACCACCUAACCUAUCUCUCCCCCAAGUUCUCCCGACUUUUGUUUUGGUGUCAUAUAAGUUUUCUACGACAUUAGUGUGACGCCCCCACUUCUCCCCAGAGCAAAUUCAAUGGUAUCUGCGGAAUGCCUGUCUAAUUCUCGUCAGGACUCGAUACGAAACAAAUUUAAACUUAACAAUACACCACCAAUAAUAAAAACCAAAAUAAAGAAAAGUCACUUCCUUAUAUGAAUAUUCAAAUCUUACAUCACAAGUAACCAAAUGUACAUCAACUUUUCCUAAAAUACAACUAUUAGAAGUCGACUAAUCAAUUACAUCCCAAGGUUUUAAUCAAAAUUAAUCAAGUCGGCUUUUCCCAAAAUUCUUUCCAUUUCGAACUCCUGUUAAGGAAAACAAACUAAUGGGGUGAGCGAACGCUCAGUGAAGCCAAGAAACACACAUGCAAAUACAUACUUCAAGUAGCAAUAAUAUUUAUACAGUAAAUAAAACUGUAAAGUUCGAGUAAUUAACAUUUCGAGUAGGAAAAGUAAGCAGAAACAAUUCAAGGAUACUGUAGCUCUCAGGAGCUAAAUUCCAUGCAGCAGGAUCAAAGUCUUGAUCAAAUUCUAUGUGGACACUCCGUCAACCAAGUAAGUAUCUAAUCCGUAGAAUCUCCACUUUUCCUAGAUUCCCGUCACCGUUACACCCCCUUACCGGACCCGCUCACCAUGGUUUUGAUAUUAUUCGAGUAUAUCGUGGCAAUACUAUACGAGUAUGCCAGACAAGAUCUCUCCAAUAGAUCAAGUUUCGGGUCUGCUCAUGGUUUACUAAGCUUCUCGACCAAAUCCAUGCUAGUUCAAUUCGCAAAAUUAGCCGAUGAGUUUGGGCAUCCCCUAGGAGUAGGAUUGGUCGACGAGACAUCGCUCCAAUCGACACCGAGUCACAUAUGAGUAUAGUUUCAAGUAUGAGCAAGUCAAGUAGCUAGCCGAGUAAAUCGAGUAACGAGUCAAGUAAGGAGAGCGAGUGCGAUAAAGUAAACACUCGUCUCGACAAGUUAAAUUCACGUAUUCAACUAGAUGCAUUUCAAGUAUUAGGCAACAAGUCAUGCACUUGACACUCAUUAAAAUCAAGAGUGUAAAGCAAGAGUAAGACAAGAUCAAACGAGCUCCUCGGAAUCCACUUGAUCACUUGAGACAUGCACAAUUACAAAUUACCUAGGUAUUCAGCCAAGAUCUAGUAAUAUUCCCGCUACCCUUACACAAGAGAUAAUACGUUCAAAUCGAAUGCAAAUAUUACUUACUACUUAAUCCACGAGGGUAGCAUUUGAAAAUAUCCAAGAAUGCAUUAAUUCAAAUCAGGUCAAGUAAAUGAAGCUUUUUUAGCUAAAACAUUGGAAUAAUGUUCAAAGAGAACUCAAAAGUUAUUUUUUGAUUCAAGUCGUGGUAAGUAGAUUUCAAUUCCAAAAGAAAGUACAAUAUUCACUUUUGGCACGAAAAUCGAGAAAAGAGUAAAUGGUCCUCGUUUCCCAAAACUUUAAAUCUCAUGUCCAAACUUUGGAAGAUAAAGAGUAUUCACAUUUUCCAAACUAAUGGAGUCAAACAUAUUCAAAACACCCCUCAUUUCAUAGAAAAAAUAUCAAAGCUAAGGUUCCAAAGUUCAAAUAUAAAAUAAGGUGUCAUUAACCAAGAAAGUGGAACAAUCAAGAAAAUGCAUUAAGAGAGGUUUAACCUUCGGAAACCAAGAUUUGAAAUGAAGGUUUAAAAUUCUAACGGAACUAUGUAUUCCACCAUGAAAUUACACCUAAAACUGUCGAACAAUUGCAAAGGAGGAUGGAAAGUUCUUAAAAGUUCAUUUCCUAAGAAAUCAAGAAUUUUAGCUUUGCGCGAUAAAUUUUGUAAAAUCAAAUCUUGAGUUUUGUAUGCCCAAAAAUAGAAAAAUUUACACCGUUGGAAACUAGAUCCAAAGUACUAAAAGUUUCCAGAAGAUACUUUUCCAAGGUUCCAAAUAGAAGGCAUUCAUUUUUCAGCUUAAAGUUGCUGAUUCAAGAAAGCAAGACAGAACCAGUCUUGGUUUUCGGCGACAUUUGGAAAUUUGGAAAAAUUCACAAAAAGUAAAUCAGUCUUUGAAAUUCAUGACACAAUAAUAUUUCCAAACAAGGUUUCAAACACAACCAAUGAAACUAAAUUCGGAGCUUUGAGCUACAAGAUAUAACAGCUUAAAGUCGGUUGAUUUGUACUACUUGAACAGUGAAUUUCCAGAUUUUGAAGAGCAAUCUUUGGGGCAUAAUUUGGAUAUCGAAAUGGUAUUGAAAUCACACCAAAUUUUGUACUCUUAAACUCCCAUAUAGUGACUACUUCUCUAUAAAAAUUCAGGUAAAAACUCGUAUGGAAAGGCAGUUAAUGAAACGACCAAAGUUUGGAAAAAUUUCAAAGCUAAUCUGCCAACCGUGGUUCUCUUCCUUUCUCAAACGUUUUGUCCAACACAAUCAGCCCCAAUUCGCUCAAAUUUUGAAACCAAAGUUCCAGAAAUGUUUAAUAAGCAUUUGAUGGUUAAAUGACACUAAAAUUUUUGAAAUAAAACCUCCCAAAACAGGUUUGACCAUUCGGUCAGCAUGAAAGGAAAAAGUUCCAGUUUCCCAGCUUUGUCGUGUUUUCGAAAUCAAGACACAUCUAAUUCUAUACAAAGUAAAAUUGAGAAUGGUUGAUGGCAUUGGAAACUAGAUUCAAAAUACUACAAUUUAUUAGAAGACAUCAUUUUGAAAAUCUUUUCACAAAUGGGAUAAAAUCAAGUCACAAAAUGCAGCUUCUAGUUUCAUUCAUAUGAACAGUCCAAACAGAACAGCCAAUUUUGUGGACUCACUGCGGUUCACUCAAAACGAACCAGCAGGAGAUUUUUAUACCAUUGAAAAGACGAAUGUCUAGUUUUGAAUGCCGCUAACGGCACUCAAUUUUGACUUUUGUACAAAAAGUUAUGUUCGAACAAAGAACACUAUCCGAGAACCCCGGCUAUGCGUUUUUCUAGAUUUGAGUCUUGCCAAAGCUCAAGUUUUAUACAACUAAAUGAAACGAUUUUUGAAAGGCACUUUGUACACACAAUAUACAACAUAUAUACAUUAAUUUCACAGCCAUCCAAGCAUCAAAAUUUUGAAAUAAAGACAAAACAACAUGACCAGAAAUUUCGGCCAGCUUGCAUUCUCACUUUUCCUUCGAUUUUUUUCCACUUUCUAACCGAAAUCAACUCACUCAACACAUAAACAAUCGUAACCACACAAUUAAGCCUCAAGUCAGCUACCUAGAGGUCUCAUCAAGUCCGCUAGCCUAUGAUUUAAAGCGAAAUAAAUGGGUUCCUGUAGACACCAAAUUUUAAUUUAGAUUUAUUUAUCAUUAUUUUAGUUUUUGUUAUUAAUAAUCAGCUAGUUUUACUUAUUAAUCUCAUGAUUUUAUUUUAGACAUUUCUUUAGCAUUUUGGGUACAAAUUUUUUUAAUUUUAUUUUUAUCGAUUAAAUGUAUUUAUUAUUCAUUUCUUGCUUAAUUAAUCGCUUAAUUUUUAUUUUUAGACAUUUUUAAUAUUAAAACUUUUGUCGAAAAAAAUUGUCCACAAAAUAUGCUUUAAUUUAUGAAAAUUUGUUGUUUGUUUAUCUUAAAUUAAUUGAAAUUUUAGUUAAAAAUAAAAGGAAAAAUCAUCAAUCAAAUUCAAAAUUUAUUUUUAGCAUGUAUUUGACUUUUGUUGCUUUUGUUUUAUUUCAAUUUGUUGUUACGAAAAUCAUUUCCUUAUUUUUUUUGGUAAUUAAGUUAUAAAAAAAAGGGGCUGGAGGAAAGGAAGUAUGGCACGCGCGCUGCUUCCCACUUAGCUUCGUACGAGCAGCUAACCAAGCAAGAUGGCUUCUGCGUUUUUUUUUCCAGUUUUCACCACCAAUUUCCCUCAUUUUUGGCUCCGUUAGAUUGUGUUAGUACAGGCCAUCUGGCCUUCAUCUAUGAGCUUCAAUUUCAUGAGAAACAAGGGCCAUCUAAUGGCUUAGAAAUCAUCAAGGGAAAAUGCAGCAAGUCUGCACUGUAGAUGUUAGGUUUUGAACGCUUAUAUAAAGCUACGAAAUGAGAGGGUUUAAGGGAGGAGAAUCUGGUGACGGCUGAAGGUGAGAUAGAGUGACAGCUGAAAAAAAAUUUUUUUUUGGAGGGGGAAAAAGGGAGUGUGACGGCUGAGAGGAAGAUACAGAGUGAGGGAGAGCCGAGGUAGAGAGAAAAACAGAGAAGGCUAAGAAAGAAACGGGAGUGACGUCUGGAGGAGACUGAGAAAAGUGAGAGGAGGAGACCGUGAGAGUGAGCAAGAGAGCAAGGUAGAAGAAGAGAAAAUUCUGGUCGAGUGCUGUUCUUAAAGGGACGAAGGAGUCAUUGGAGCUGCUACCUAUUGCGAGGAGUAGAAAUCAUCUUCAUUUCAUUCCACUGUUAUCGCCUAUGAAAAAGAAAAGAAGGCACUGUAAAUUGUCUUUCCCUUUAAGCCUUGGUUCAGAUCUUGAAGCUUUCAAGCAUAGGGCCGAUGACUUUACUUAUGGCCAUUUCCCCGUUAGUUAUCUUUGACGUUUGAGUAUACGUGCUUCAUUGGCUGAUUGAAUUGAAGAGUUGAAGCCAUUGUUAUUUCUGAUUUUGGGUAGGGAAUCAUCGGAUCUUUUCGUGUCAAAACCUAGGAUUUUUUUGGGGGGGGGCUGAUUUCCUUCAUUUGUACUGUUUUCUGUGAUGAAGUCUAGCUUGGUAUGUGCUGGUUGUGAAAGCUCAAUGAAAACUCAAAGUUUUCAGAGGUUGCCAAAGUUUUUAGUUGAGGGAAGAAGAAAGUUCCCAGCUUUAUAUGUUUUCCUGCGGUUUGACACUUCAUGACUUGAGUCCUUGUGUUGUGGUCGAGUAGGACUAUCAAUAAGAAUUUAGAAGCUAGUUGUUGGGCUUGAUAAAUUCAGAUCAUGCGUGAAAUGCUGAUGUUUGGUUGCUGAUUUCAUGAGUCAUUCCUUUCCCUUUGCUAUGACUGGGUUUCAGAUGAUUUCCUUGCUCAUGAAUCUUGUUGUGUUGGGGAAUCAUUGAUGAUUGAAUGAUGGUUGUAUAGAAUGCUUGGGUUUUGUUUAGAACCUUUUGCGAAUUUUCUGGGUUGCUGAAAACAAAAAUUCUUAGAACUGCAGAGUUUUUUUUUUUUUUUUUUUUCUCUCUCUCGCGGGGAAACAAUUUUUUUUUUCCUGCUGCAAUAGGAUGGAAACCCUCUGCCUUGUUGCAGAAGUGCGAAUGGGUUUCUUUUUCUAUUUGAUUGCUGAAAUUCUAGCUUGCUUCAAGUGUUUGGUUUGUUUGUCGUUCGAAUGGGGUGCCAUGCGCGUGUUUGGGAACAUAGGAAUAAAGGCCAUCAGUUUUCAUUGUCUUGUUUAUUUUUUCUGGAAAAUCUGAGCAGUUGAAGUUGAGCAAGUGUUCAGAUUAUUUGGUCGCGUUUGGGUGUCCGAAAGCGUGUUGGAUCUUUGCUUGAAUGAGUUGGGACUUGUUUGAGUCAUUGUGUUUGAAUUUUUGAUUCGGCUAAAUGAAGAUAAGUUGCAGGAACUUUUUCUUCAGCAUUUGCAUGCUCUUUUGUCCGACUCCUUGUGAUUGAAUCUAAUGUUUCUAUUGCAAAGUGAGAGGAUUAAGUGGCGGUCUUCUUGCUUUAGUUCAAACUAAAUUUGAUCUUGUCCGAGAGCUGCGGAAAAUUUGCGGAUGAAAUCACAGAGGAAUCACUUUAGCAUGCCGAAAGUUUUUUUUUUUGUUGUUGCAGAAGCUUGUUCAGUCGUAGCUUUGCAUGCAUUUUUUACAUGGAAAAUGUUCAAGAAAUUAUACUUUAACCCCUUAAUUGAUGUCUAACGCUACUAUGGCCUAUAAAAUUGGAAAAACUAAUCGAUUUGGUCCCUCUAACAUGUUACUUCUUUCUUUAACAUGACUUAAUGUAGACUUUGGAUUGAUUUUAGUGAAUUUGUGUGAUGUUUUAAAGGUUUAAUAUUUGUAAAUAGGUUUAUGAUUUUCGAUUUGGUUUUUUAGUAGAAUUUUGGAUAAUUUGUUGUUAAAUAUAAUGAAUAGGUUUCAACUCCUCUUUUGUAAAGUCUAGCAUUUUGUGAGAACCCGUAACUUUUCUUAUUUUCAAGGUUUUAUUUUAUUUAAUCGCACGCUUUUCGAUAUUUUCUUUAUUAGAAAAAUUUUCUAACUCAUUUUUAUGGGUAAAUAUGGUUUUUAAAUUAUUUUUUCCAGUAUAAGUUAGUUCAUGAGAUUUUAGGAGUGUAUACCGGGCGUGGGACCCGCUAGUGCUGAAAGUUCGGUAAAAUUGGGUCAGUAUGGUUAAGUUUUGUAUACCGGGAUUAAUUUAGCAGGUGUUAAGAGAUAACUAGAGGUUACUAAAUGAAUUAGUGUGGGAAAGACAAAAGGAUAGCCAUGCAUUAAUGAGAGUGACAAGUGUCACUUGGUGAUUAACUCUUGGACUUUGACCACUAUUCACCACUUUAUCAAUUAAUACAAAAAUUGACCAAAAUCAUCUUCAUUUGCAAGCUUCUUUGGCCGGCCAUCUUCAAGAGAAAAGAAGAGAAAACUCCCAACUUUCUUGCCUCCAAUCUUGUUCAAUCUCAUAGUUCAACCGAUUAAACUUGGAUUUCCUCCAUAAAAACCCUUAGUUUAGUGGUAGUAAGGUUGGUUGUGAAGUGGUUUGGAAGAUCCAGGUGCUAAGCUGUCUCCUUUCUUGACUUGGUAAGGUGAGUAGCUAAGGAACUUCUCUUUCCUUCUCAAUAAUGUUUAAUUAGUGGCUUGUGUGAGUUAAAGAGAUGGUUUUAGGUGUUAUUUCAUGACUCUUGAUAGAAAUUGGUGAAUUUUUAUAUUUAUUCAUGAUUUUUCUGUUUUUAUAUGUUUAAUAUUGUUGGGCCAUGGAUGAUGGCUUGGAAUGGUUUAGAAUGAAGCAAUAGAGCGUAAAUUGUGGUUAUUUGCGAAAAAUUUCCGCAUUGUACGGAAAAUUUCAGAUUUAGGGUUUGGAUUUGGGGCUUUUCUAGGGUUUUUAUAUAACACUUGGAUUGGCUUUGACGAAAGGGUUUUGUGACUCUAAUAAGGUGUAUUGAAGGGUUUAUGACUUGUAGUGGUAUUGGUGAUUGUGUUUGGAACGUAUGGAGGAAUGUUGUAGGUUGGAAACUUAGAAUUUUAAGGGGAAAUGCUGUCCAAAUUGGGGGUUCUUGUGUUUUAUUGGACUUGGGUUGUUUUAGGGGUUAUUAGAGACUUUAGGGUUAUCUAAACCCUUAGCGCCGAGUGUGUCUUAGUUUAAUUGCAAGUUCCUUUGGUUUAUCUUAGUGACUUGUAGUUUCGAUUUAUGACUCGUAAUUGAGUCUCAUUGUGUUUGUUUGAAUGUUUUAGGGCGUGAAGGUGGUUCGAGACGCUUGUUGGGUGGACAAUUGUAAAAGUCUCUUUGCUUGCUUGGUGAGUGUACUACUCACUUGAUUGUUACUGUGUGGCUUUGUUACACUUGAAAUCGAUGACUUGAUUGCUUAUUUGCAUUGUUGAUAUUGAUUGAGGUGAGGGUGUACUUGAUCACUCUCACCCUUUAUAUCCUAUAUGACUGUUUACCGGGUUACUUGAAUGAUAUAUGAAUAUACUUGAAUUGGUGUCGUUUGGACGAGUAUCCAACGACCAUCACUGUUAUCACUGAGCUCAACCCCAUUGGUGGUCAAUUGAAUCGAGCUGGCAAGGGCUUGGUCGUGAAAAUUGACGAGCCAUAGGGACUGUUGUUUGGAAUCUUGAAGUAUGAGACUCUUGAUUCCGGUAUACUCGAAUAUUACCAAUUCUAAACUGUUUGGAGUUUGGGCCCGGUUGGGGUGUGUGAGGUGGAAGGAAUGGAAGUAAAGCGGAGUCUACGUUUGGUUACUCUUGUACAUUGACGGAGGGUCAAUGAGAUACGAUCAAGUAUGGCAAGCGAGGAAAGGGGUUCUUGAGAGCUGUCCGUAUCCUUUUUACCACUUGUAUUGAUAUGUGACUUUACUUAGUUUCUUUAUUGAAUGAAUUUGGAAUGAAUGAAUUUAUGCUUAAUUGAACAUCCUUGCUUGACUGAUAGUACCUCAUUGGGCGAAAGCUCACCCUAUUACUUUCGUUUUCCUUACAGGGGUUGAACACUUUUGAAAAACUAGAAUAUUUGGUUGUUGAGUUGAGCUUGAUUAGAUACAUUUUGAAUAGCUCCUCAAUGAACAAAACCCUAAGUGUAUUUAAAUCCAACUUUUCUUUUGAGUUGUAAAUUUGGAAGCAUACAUGUAUAAACGUGUUUGGUAAUGUUGGUAUGUUAUUUUGGUUGGUAAUUAUGUGAUUUCUUGGUGUAUAUGGUUUAUUGAUGUUUGGAUGGAUUUCGGACAGAUUCGGAUUUCAAACGGCGAAAAGAAAAAUUUUGGCGGGAAAGAACAUGGUCGAAUUCGGCCAGGAAUCCGGCCAGAAUCUGGCCGGAUUGACGGCCGGAUUGCCUUAGGAAAAAAAUGGAAUCUGGCAUUGCUCUCUGGCCAGUAUCUGGCCAGGAAUCCGGCCAGAUUCCGGCCGGAUUCUGACGUGUCCGGCAUUGUUCAUGUCGGCUCCGAUUUUCAUUUUUUUUAUUUUGUGAUUUUGACUUGUUUUAGCGCCCUUGUAUGUUCCGGAACGUUUUAGAUCGCAUGUACCUGUCUCGUUAGUUCUGGCGAGAGUUGGGUAGGCAGUCCGCUAACCCCUUUGGUUCGCCUUAGGGGAAGGUGGGGAUGUCACACAUUUGAUUUUGGUAGAUUCCAUUUUGAGUCACCAAAUUUUAGUACCUCAUCUUAGAACUUCUUAAUUAUUUUAAUUAGGUUCUUUUCCGCUCUAAUUUCUUGCAUGUAGAUGAUUUCUUUUAUAAAAUUCGUUAAGUGAUUUCAUUUUGUGUUUAAUUUUCAUUUGUGUGUUUAAUUUUUGUUUCAUGUAAUUAAUUGUUAAUUAAAAUGAUACCUUGACUCUUUUUUAUUAUUUUGGAGGGUAAAUAAGUAACUCGUCUCAUUAGAACAUCAACUCAAGGGAGGUACACUCUACCCCUUAUUUUCUAAUUUAUUUGACCUUAUGUGCCCCUAUGUGACUUUAUUGCAUACCUUUUGAAUGUGACCAUUUUAUUUAUUUAUUUAUUUGUUUGUUUUAAUUUUGUAUAUUUAUUUAAAUUUAAUUUGUAAUUAUUUGGGAAGGCAAUUAAAUGCCACAAUUGUAAUAGUUAGGUAUUUAUUUUAAUUAUUUAUUUUAUUUCCCCUUUUAGAUUGUAGUAGGGCCCCUUAAUGUAAUAGUUAGGGCUUGUUUGCUUUAGUUGCUUGGUGUGAUUUACAUGCUUACGUGCUAUGUGUUACCGCUUUCUUAGGGCCUUGCAUCUAGAUAUCAUGAUUAUGUGUUAUGGAUUUAUGUGAUAUUAUGUGGUUAUAUGUUUUUAUUAAGUUUUACAUGAUUAAUUUAGUUAUAAUUAAUGUAACGUGUUAUCACAUUAGUCCAACGCUAGUUGUGGUUCCCUUGUCCGAUUUCUCAGUAGUCCAAUGCUAGUGAGAAAGUAGAAAUAAGGGUUAGUCCAACGUUAGACCCUUAGGAGCCCUUUGAGCGUUAGAUCAUGAUUGUGUGAUAAAAACACUUCAUCUUAUGCAUAUCCUAGGGUCUUUUAUCAUUUUUUUGCAUGUUCCCUUUUUUUUUUUUACUUAUAUUCCCGAUCCAAUAAUUCCCCCUUUAUAUAUAAAUACCCCCUACACACACACACACACACACACACACACACACAUAUAUAUGUAUUUUUUCCACAUUUCCCUUAUAUAUCCCCUCUUAUAUCCAUAUCCCAUAUUUUCAUAUUUUCCUUUAUAUAAUCCUAUGUAUGAGACAUGACACUAGAUUUGCAUUUCAUAUAGGGAAAAUUAGAGAUAGGUUAGUACAUUUGCUUGAUUAGAUUAGGAAAACAACCUCUUGAGUAUGGGAUAUGGACGAGUUUGGCUUUCUAGCUUUAUCACGUUCAUAUUCCCUCUGUUAAAGGGAAAAUUGAGUCACGAACAUUAGUCCCCCGUAC
rnacentral:lncRNA from 1 species